CCAGCGUUUCCCACGUUCUGGAGUUCCUGAUUGCACGUCUGUGCGUGUGAGGCCAGCCACGGUGCCUGGGGCCUGGCACGCUGUUCCAGCCAGCUGUUUCCAGUCAGUCGGUUCCAGUGGCGAGCCACUCCCUCUGUCCCACGGUGUGCACUGCAGACCCCGUUCGGGUGUUCCAUCGAGGCUGGAUUCACACGGGAAAGGCCAGGCCGGCCUGUCCAGACAGGAAUGUGGGUAACAGAUCAGAGCAGCAUGGGUGAAGCUGGUGGCUUUGCCAACAACAGAAAUCUCAGUCAUUGCAUUUUGCCGAGUUACUGCUGUGCUCGUCACUAUUCAAAGUUGCAGUGAUCAUUCGACCCGCUGCCGGAGCUCAUUCACGGUGUCGUACAGAGUUGUAUAUCUUAGUUGCAAGUCCUUCUAGUUGUGGCAUGUGGGAUGCCGCAUCAACGUGGUCUGAUGAGUGGUGCCAUGUCCACACUCAGGAUCCGAACCAGAGAAACCCUGGGCCACCGAAAUGGAGGGCACGAAGUCAACCACUCGGCCACAGGGCCGGCCCCUAUAAAUGAAAAUUUGGAUCCUAAGUAUUUGUUUUAAGCAUUAUUCGGAGAUGGGGUCCUGAAGCAGCUGCCAUCAGUGUAGCCUGUAUUCCUGGACCUCACCGUCCAAUUGGGUGACAGCAUCCCAUGGAGCC
rnacentral:lncRNA from 1 species